UUCCAAAGAGGGACGUCACAGCAAAAGGUUGAGGUUGAUUCAACGACACCAAAUCCCAACAACCAGACCCAAACUGAAGCUCAGGGUGGUGCAAGUGAAGAUGUCCAAGCAGGCUCUCCAGCACCUAAUCCCCACAAUCUGACUGCUACGACACAACCUGGUGUUACUGAUUGGGCAAGUGAAGAUGAGAUGGUCACUAUAACCCCAAGUCUCCUAAACCAGACAACACCUGCUGCCCAAACUGGAGAUGCUGAAUCACCAAAUGGACCAAGUGAAGAUGCUGAGGUUGCCACCACAAUGCAGAAUGCCCAAAAU